rnacentral:rRNA from 1 species
AUUGAACGCUGGCGGCAUGCCUUACACAUGCAAGUCGAACGGUAACAGGUUAAGCUGACGAGUGGCGAACGGGUGAGUAAUAUAUCGGAACGUGCCCAGUCGUGGGGGAUAACGUAGCGAAAGCUACGCUAAUACCGCAUACGAUCUACGGAUGAAAGCGGGGGAUCGCAAGACCUCGCGCGAUUGGAGCGGCUGAUAUCAGAUUAGGUUGUUGGUGAGGUAAAAGCUCACCAAGCCUGCGAUCUAUAGCUGGUCUGAGAGGACGACCAGCCACACUGGAACUGAGACACGGUCCAGACUCCUACGGGAGGCAGCAGUGGGGAAUUUUGGACAAUGGACGCAAGUCUGAUCCAGCAAUGCCGCGUGCAGGACGAAGGCCUUCGGGUUGUAAACUGCUUUUGUACGGAACGAAACGGUGAACUCUAAUACAGUUUGCUAAUGACGGUACCGUAAGAAUAAGCACCGGCUAACUACGUGCCAGCCGCCGCCGUAA